rnacentral:rRNA from 1 species
AACUGGGUAUAAUACCCGAUAGGUCUCGAUUGCUGGAAUGCAUCGAGAUUUAAAGCUCCCGCGCCUAAGGAUGGGUCUGCGGCCUAUCAAGUAGUAGUGGGUGUAGCGUACCUACUAGCUACGACGGGGUACGGGUUGUGAGAGCAAGAGCCCGGAGAUGGAUUCUGAGACACGAAUCCAGGCCCUACGGGGUGCAGCAGGCGCGAAAACUUUACAAUGCUGGCAACAGCGAUAAGGGAACCUCGAGUGCCAGGUUACAAAUCUGGCUGUCGAGAUGCCUAAAAAGCAUUUCAUAGCAAGGGCCGGGCAAGACCGGUGCCAGCCGCCGCGGUAACACCGGCGGCUCGAGUGGUAACCGUUAUUAUUGGGUCUAAAGGGUCUGUAGCCGGCCGGAUAAGUCUCUUGAGAAAUCUGGCAGCUUAACUGUCAGGCUUUCAGGAGAUACUGUCUGGCUCGAGGCCGGGAGAGGUGAGAGGUACUUCAGGGGUAGGGGUGAAAUCUUGUAAUCCUUGAAGGACCACCAGUGGCGAAGGCGUCUCACCAGAACGGACCUGACGGCAAGGGACGAAAGCUAGGGGCACGAACCGGAUUAGAUACCCGGGUAGUCCUAGCCGUAAACGAUACUCGCUAGGUGUCGGCCACGGUGCGACCGUUGUCGGUGCCGUAGGGAAGCCGUGAAGCGAGCCACCUGGGAAGUACGGCCGCAAGGCUGAAACUUAAAGGAAUUGGCGGGGGAGCACCACAACGGGUGGAGCUUGCGGUUUAAUUGGAUUCAACGCCGGAAAUCUUACCGGGACCGACAGCAAUAUGAAGGCCAGGCUGAAGACUUUGCCGGAUUAGCUGAGAGGUGGUGCAUGGCCGUCGUCAGUUCGUACUGUGAAGCAUCCUGUUGGUCAGGCAACGAGCGAGACCCA